rnacentral:rRNA from 1 species
AUAUCAAUAAGCGGAGGAAAAGAAACCAACAGGGAUUGCCCUAGUAACGGCGAGUGAAGCGGCAACAGCUCAAAUUUGAAACCUGGCGCUUGCGUCCGGAUUGUAAUUUGCAGAGGAUGCUUCUGGGCAGCGGCCGGUCUAAGUUCCUUGGAAAAGGACGUCAUAGAGGGUGAGAACCCCGUAUGUGACCGGCGCGCACCCUCCACGUAGCUCCUUCGACGAGUCGAGUUGUUUGGGAAUGCAGCUCUAAAUGGGAGGUAAAUUUCUUCUAAAGCUAAAUAUUGGCCCGAGACCGAUAGCGCACAAGUA